rnacentral:rRNA from 1 species
GACGAACGCUGGCGGCGUGCUUAACACAUGCAAGUCGAACGGAAAGGCCCUGCUUUUGUGGGGUGCUCGAGUGGCGAACGGGUGAGUAACACGUGAGUAACCUGCCCUUGACUUUGGGAUAACUUCAGGAAACUGGGGCUAAUACCGGAUAGGAGCUCCUGCUGCAUGGUGGGGGUUGGAAAGUUUCGGCGGUUGGGGAUGGACUCGCGGCUUAUCAGCUUGUUGGUGGGGUAGUGGCUUACCAAGGCUUUGACGGGUAGCCGGCCUGAGAGGGUGACCGGCCACAUUGGGACUGAGAUACGGCCCAGACUGCUACGGGAGGCAGCAGUGGGGAAUAUUGCACAAUGGGCGGAAGCCUGAUGCAGCAACGCCGGGUGCGGGAUGACGGCCUUCGGGUUGUAAACCGCUUUCGCCUGGGACGAAGCGUGAGUGACGGUAAUGGGUAAAGAAGCACCGGCUAACUACGUG